AUUGAACGCUGGCGGCAAGCCUAACACAUGCAAGUCGAACGAGUGGCGGACGGGUGAGUAAUGUCUGGGAAACUGCCUGAUGGAGGGGGAUAACUACUGGCAACGGUAGCUAAUACCGCAUACCAUCGGAUGUGCCCAGAUGGGAUUAGCUAGUAGGUGGGGUAAAGGCUCACCGAGGCGACGAUCCCUAGCUGGUCUGAGAGGCUGACCGGCCACACUGGAACUGAGACACGGUCCAGACUCCUACGGGAGGCAGCAGUGGGGAAUAUUGCACAAGGGGCGAAAGCCUGAUGCAGCCACGCCGCGUGUAUGAAGAAGGCCUUCGGGUUGUAAAGUACUUUCAGCGGGGAGGCGUUACCCGCAGAAGAAGCACCGGCUAACUCCGUGCCAGCCGCCGCGGUAAUAC
rnacentral:rRNA from 1 species